GUCCCCAACCCUCGUGUCCCCCCCCGUUUCCAGGAGCAGGGCUCCACCUUCCUCCAGCUGGGCUCCUCCACGGAGCAGCAGCUGCAGGUGAUCUUCGAGGUGCUGGAGGAGUACGACUGGACCACCUUCGCCCUGGUGACCACCUUGCGCCCGGGCCACCAGGCCUUCGUCUCCUACGUGGAAGGGCUGACGGACGGCAGCUUCAUCGGGUGGGAGCACCGGGGGGUCCUCACCCUCAACCUCACCCAGGACCCCCGGGGCACCCGCUGGCGCCGCCAACUGCGGGACCUGGACGCCCAGAUCCGGCUCCUCUUCUGCUCCCGGGAGGAGGCCCCCGCUCUUUUUCGGGGGGCUCGGGAGGCCGGGGUGGCCGGGCCGGGCUACGUCUGGUUCCUGGUGGGGGCCCAACUCGGGGCUGGGGGCGCCGAGGUGCCCCCCGAAGCCCCCGCCGGCCUCUUCGCCGUCCUCUCGGCCGGUUGGAAGGAGGACCUGGGCCAGCGGUUGCGCCGGGGGGUGGCCAUCCUGGCCCAGGGGGCCAGAGCCCUCCUCAGCGACCCCCGGGGGCCCCCCCGUUUCUCCGGGGACUGUCGGGACCCCCAAGGCCACCCCCCGGCCCGGCGCGGCCUGCACCGGUGAGCGGCGGGACCCCCGGCCCCGACCUGAGCUCGCGGCGACGUCACGGCGACGUCACGGCGUGGGGUGUCCCCUUCUCAUCUCCAGGUACUUCUCCAACAUCACCUGGGGGCAGCGGGACUUCUCCUUCAACGAGGAGGGCUUCCUCGUCAACCCCUCUCUCGUCGUCAUCGCCCUCAACAAGGAGCGCGCCUGGGAGGUGGUGGGGAGCUGGGAGGGGGGGCGGCUGCGCCUGACGCACCCCCCCUGGUCGCGCUACGGCCGGUUCCUGCAGCCGGUGGCCGACGGGCGUCACCUGCGGGUGGCCACCCUGGAGGAGCGCCCCUUCGUCAUCGUGGAGGGGGUGGACCCCGUCACCGGCACCUGCAUCCGCGACUCCGUGCCCUGCCGCCACCAGCGCAACCGCACGGCGGGGUGAGUGCCCCAAAACGGCCUUAAUUCGCCCCAAAANNNNNNNNNNNNNNNNNNNNNNNNNNNNNNNNNNNNNNNNNNNNNNNNGGGUGAGUGACCCAAAACGGCCUUAAUUCGCCCCAAAACGGCCCUGCCGCCACCAGCGCAACCGCACGGCGGGGUGAGUGCCCCAAAACGGCCUUAAUUCGCCCCAAAACGGCCCUGCCGCCACCAGCGCAACCGCACC
rnacentral:lncRNA from 1 species